UGCGCAGACGCGGGAGCGCAGGCAGCGCGCAGUGCCUGCGACGCUGCCGGGGUGGGCGCCGCCGGGACGCGACCCUGGAGGACCGGCACUGUGUGAAAAUUCUUACUCGGGCCCUCUUAGUGUCAGGCUUCCUUGGUGAUGUGUGGUGUAUACUGAAUGAAAAAGGAAAAGGAAGGCAAGAAAUAACCAUGUGCCUGUCGCUGAAGAUAUCUCAUGUAAACUCUUAACAGCUAAGGGUGAAGCAGGUUUUGUUUAUUACCCCAUUGCACAGGUGAGCAAACAGGCUUUGUGUAGCACUCCCACAGCCAAUAAUUGGCAGAAGCAAGCUUUGAAUCCAGAAUUAUCUAAUAUCAAACUGCUGUUCUUUCCUCCCCAACAGUGCUGAGUUCCUUGGAGAAAAUUAUUUUGUGGACAAGAAUCGUGCUCCUUCAACUUGGGGUGUGUGCCAAGGGCAGACAGCCAUGAGAACCCACAGGAUGGAUGCGUUGCCACUUUCUGGAGCAAUCCAUUUUACUUGAGGAAUCAGAAGGGAGGAAUCUGGUACUUGGGAGCCGGUACCUCUCUGCUCUCUCCCCAGCACCAGGGACAGAGCCUGGCACCUGGUGAGCACUCCACAAUUCCUUGUCAAAUGGAAGGACAGGUGUCUGCCUGUCUCAUUUGCCUCCUGAUCUGGAGCCUCCUGUGAUCUUAAGAACAAAUAGUGUUGGCUGUGGUCCCUCCCUGAUCCUGAGAAGGGGCAGGAAUGCUUCAGAAGAUGUUCUGACCUCCCGCAAUGUGCAUGUCUGUGCACGGGUGUGUGACCAGCGUGUGGGGCCAGGGGAUUCUUAUCCUAGAGACCCUGGGACCACCCAGAAGGCCCAGUCGACUCAUGACUUCUCUUCUCUCCCAGCCCCACCUUCUCAGCACUCUGCCCCUCUCCAAAUUGAAACCCUCAAGGGGGAGGAAAGGAUGCCUGCCGCACGCGGGAAAUCCAAGUCCAAGGCACCAGUCACAUUUGGGGAUUUGGCCAUCUACUUCUCCCAGGAGGAGUGGGAAUGGCUGAGUCCCAUUCAGAAGGAUCUGUAUGAAGAUGUCAUGUUGGAAAACUACCAGAACUUGGUUUCUCUCGGACUUUCCUUUCGGAGGCCAAAUGUGAUCACCUUAUUGGAAAAAGGGAAAGCACCCUGGAUGGUGGAGCCAGUGAAAAGACGCCGGGGCUUGGGUGAGUGACAGAGAACCAAG